UACGGAGGGGGCUAGCGUUGUUCGGAUUCAUUGGGCGUAAAGGGUGCGUAGGCGGCGCGGUAAGUCGGGUGUGAAAUUUCGAGGCUUAACUUCGAAACUGCAUUCGAUACUGCCGUGCUUGAGGACUGGAGAGGAGACUGGAAUUUACGGUGUAGCGGUGAAAUGCGUAGAUAUCGUAAGGAAGACCAGUGGCGAAAGCGGGUCUCUGGACAGUUCCUGACGCUGAGGCACGAAGGCCAGGGGAGCAAACGGG
rnacentral:rRNA from 1 species